GACGAACCGUGCGAACGUUAUUCGGAAUCACUGGGCUUAAAGCGCGUGUAGGCGGGACGGCACGUCCGUCGUUGAAAGCCCCCGGCUCAACCGGGGAAUCGGCGCGGAUACGACCGUCCUUGAGGGGCGUAGGGGGACAGGGAACUUCCGGUGGAGCGGUGAAAUGCGUUGAGAUCGGAAGGAACACCCGUGGCGAAAGCGCUGUCCUGGACGCCUGACUGACGCUGAGACGCGAAAGCUAGGGGAGCAAACGGG
rnacentral:rRNA from 1 species